rnacentral:rRNA from 1 species
AACGUAGGAGACAAACGUUAUCCGGAGUUACUGGGCGUAAAGGGCGUGUAGGUGGUUUCGUAAGUCUGGCGUGAAAUUUCUCGGCUUAACCGAGGCUGGUCGUCGGAUACUGCGGAGCUAGAGGACGGUAGAGGCGUGUGGAAUUCCGGGUGUAGUGGUGAAAUGCGUAGAGAUCCGGAGGAACACCAGUGGCGAAGGCGACACGCUGGGACGUACCUGACACUGAGGCGCGAUAGCAUGGGGAGCAAACAGG